CUGAAAUUGGGACACCARCUGAAUGAUCCUACUGGACCUCCGCUCCACUCCAGUCCUUCAAGGAAAAAGGCCACUUACAUCAUUAAAGGAUGUUCCUGACUAGUCUCACUCUGGACCAAAGGCCCAAGUGCAGCUAUCAGACAAAAAGCGAAACACAGGAGCACUCCACUCAGAUCUGCUCCUCACCCUGUGUCCUCUCAUCCUCGCCGUGA
rnacentral:lncRNA from 1 species